GGCUCUAGAAAUGUUAUUCACUGCAGCCCGAAAGAUGCUACUCGCCUCUAACCCUAAUUUUGAUCGAUCGCUUGAAAGCAUUUCGUUCAUCCUUUUCUGCAGCGGGUAUGACGCCUGCGAUUCCUUUAUCUCGAUCUCAUACUCUCUUUCUAUCUCUUGAGAUAAUCUGAUGCGUGUUGUUAUGGCUAUUUCGAGAAUCUUCUUCUCUGACUUGAAGUCAGGCAAAUGCUCUUACGUCGUCGAGCCAGGGCUACUGCGGUUCUGGGAUGCGAGGAACGUCAAACGCGGUGGUGCGCUGAUGUGGAUCGAUACGCUGCUUAUGGACGUGAAUAUUUAGUCUCUCUGUCCGGCCAGGUUACAUGGGGCUCUCCCUCUAACCCUAACUCCGCUCGAUCGAAGAAUUUGAUAUCGUCUCCCCUCUUCGUGCGGCCGCCGUGACGUCUGAGCUUCGAUAUCUGAAACAGCCUGAGUUAUGAACUUCGCUAUCUAAUGGUCCGAGUUAUGGCUUUUGCGUGUUCAAUCAUCAUAAGCUCUCUCUUUCUCUCUCGAUAGUUUAAUUUUCUCUCUUUAUCAAUCUGCUAUUUUUCAUGGAUUGAUUUUGUUUGUUAUUCAUUUAUAAACUAUUUUGAUGUAUUUUUCAGUGUUUCUACCAUGCUUUGACUUAAAUCUUCAGGGAUCUCAUUCCUAAACAAUGGCUCGAUUCCAUUUUUCUUGGGGUGACGCUGACUAUCACCAUGAGACACUUGAUAAUUUGAAAAUUGCUGCUGGCCACUGUAGGCAAUUUGUGGUGAUCCGUCUUCUUCGAUAAUGGAAGGCUCACAAUGUAAUAAAGGAGGGAUUUUAUAAUGGUAACAUGGUCUUGCUUGACGAGAAGGUUCUCUUCUUCAACCUUAAAACCUUCCAUCUUUUAUUGAUUUCCUAUUCUCCUACUUCUAUAACCCUGCUUUUACAACCCUUUUAAAUCAAG